ensembl:lncRNA
GGGAGACAGCACCAUCAGGUCAUCUGUCUACAGCAGACCCUCUUUAGGGGGAGACAGCAGCAUCGGGUCAUCUGUCUACAGCAGACCCUCUUUAGUGGGAGACAGCAGCAUCAGGUCAUCUGUCUACAGCAGACCCUCCUUAGUGGGAGACAGCAGCAUCAGGUCAUCUGUCUACAGCAGACCCUCUUUAGUGGGAGACAGCAGCACCAGGUCAUCUGUCUACAGCAAACCCUCCUUAGUGGGAGACAGCAGCACCAGGUCAUCUGUCUACAGCAGACCCUCCUUAGUGGGAGACAGCAGCACCAGGUCAUCUGUCUACAGCAGACCCUCCUUAGUGGGAGACAGCAGCACCAGGUCAUCUGUG